UCCUGCCCACCCCGGGCUGACACAGGGCCCUUGUCUUCCUGUGGAAUGCAGUAGCAAUUCUGAGCCUGGUGUGUCAGACAAGGAGUCCAGCUCCCCUAUAAACUUUUUAUAGCUUAGGAAAAUAAACAUGUGGUUUAAGGUCUUUGCAUAGGCAGUGCUCACCGAGUUUGAGCUUGCUUUACAGAACUACGAAAGAAAAUAUUGGUAGAGCUAAUAAAUUUCCGAGCCAGCCAAGGGACAGUAGUCCAGAAAUCUCAGGGAGGGUUGAUGGUUUCGAUGAUAAAGGAGGGGUUAUCUCUACAGCUGUCAUCUUGUCCACUCCCGCUUAGAAUCUGCCUGCCUGAGUGAUGCAGCCAGGCUCCCAGGUUCCCUGGGGCUGGGAACCAGCAAAGGGAUGGGGAAUCGCAGCAUUUCCCUGUCAGAGCCCUUGGGGAUAAGUUUACAAAUCAGGAAGCAGAGUCCAGAGAGAGAGAGGAGGAAGUGAUCUCGCGGGUCCCAUGGCUUGUUAGAGAUGGGGACCACCGUACUUUUCACUCAAGCAGCUUUCCAGGCAUCUGCUGUGUGCUGGCGGGGGUUGAGGGGUGGGCAGGGAGCCCACUGAAUGCACGUGCACAGGGCAGGGCAGAAGACUACUUCUGGGGUUUACUUCCUGGGUUUGUGGAGGAGCAGAGACCCUGGGAGGAGGGGGAAAUGAAAGGGAGGUGUCCGAUUAGAGCAUUGGGUAGUGACAGUAAAAAUGAUAAUACAUGUUGCUCUCGUUACCAUUUAUGAAGCAUUGACACUGCAUCCGGAUCCGAUGUCACCUCACUGAAUCCUCAAAGCCCUGAGAGGCUAUGGUUCUGAUCCCUAUUCUGCAGCUGGGGAAAACUGUAGCUCACUUUCCCAGUCACCUGGCCGGAAAGUGGCAGAGCCAGGAGUCAAACCAGGCUUCCCGACCCCGACACCUGUGCCUCUGCUCACACAGCUUGCAGGAGCAGGAGUUUAUUCUGAGGAUGUGAUCAGGGACAUGGCUGAGGAGUCAUCCCGGCAAAAUAUGCGCACGAAAAAUCCCAAAUCAUCUCUCGGAGACUCUUUCACAUACAUUUAUGAAGCACCUACUGUGUGCCCAGCCCUAUGGGCCGACGACGACAGGACUCUGAUGGAGAGAUGUGAGCCUGGGGAGCCGAGACGGCUGCACGCAGUAAGAGGAAGAGGCAUUUCUGGCUGAACUCCCUGCACAGGGCGGAAAGUUUCCUCCCUGGGACCAAGUGAGGAGAGCCAGGACUGCGGGAAACCCUGUGGACCCAAGACACAUCUGGAAUACGCCGGAGGGCCUGGGAGGCCAGGCAAGCCGAGCGUCCGCGUUUCACAGGCCGAGGAAGUGCCGGGCAGUUAAAGACAGACCGGCUGCAUCUGUUCGCCAGAAGAGGAACUUAACUGCAUCAGGGUGAUGACAAGCCUGGUGGAGGCGGACCCGGGGCCUCGAGGUCCACGCCUGGGGCUGAGCCUCGUCCUCAGGCCUCGACAGGUGGCUCCCGUGCUGGGCCCUGAGUACCUUCCAUUCCACCACAAGGCCCCCAAGGCUAUGAUGGGGAAGAGCUGUCUUUGUUUCCCUGCAGCCCUGAGCUUGGAGUGAGAGGCAUGCUUCUUGCUGUUGCCCCUGAAUCUUCAGAAGAAUCUCUGCACCCAAUUUCCAUGCCUGAUUGUGUGGAGAGGCUUGGCGGGUGGGGAAAAGGGUCCUCUUCUCCUGGCUCAGUGCUGGGGAGGCAUCACAGGAAGAGCACAGAGAGGAGGAGGAGGAACAGAAGCCCAGAACCAGAGCCAGAGGAGGCCAGGAUAAAAGGGUCUUGGAGAACUGCUGAAGUCUUGAUCCUAUGAAGCUUCUCCGGUUUCUGGAAGGCAUAGGCCCAGAAGAUGGAUUGUUCCCAAGCAGCCUUUACCCCGAAACUGCACCACAAACCUUCCCAGAGGUGCAGGAGCAGAGGCUUCCUACUUGCAACAGAGGGACAGAGUGCACGCACUUGGGAGAAUUACAUUUUCCUGCCCACCUGGAGCCGGGCUUGGCCAGGUGACAUGCUGUGGGCAGAAAUAUGUGAACAGAAGAGGCACACGUCACUUCAAUGUGGAAGCAUUAAGAGCCAGCAUGUGAUUUCCAUGUCUGAACAUCCCCUCUGCCGCGAUGACUGCCGCCCUACCAGAGAGUGGAGGCUCAGGAGCGCUGCUCAGCCCCCCAAAAGGACAUGGUCCCCAGAGCUCACUUCUGACUUGUCAAAGGGAAUAGUGAAAGGCAAAGAAUCCUCCAGAGAGCUGAUCAGAGGCCUCAGAGAGCAACGGACAAUGGGAACUUCUCCAGAGAGUGAACUUUGGGCCAAAACAGGAAACAAUCCUGGGUGCCCUCAAAGUGGGACCUCAGUGUCUGCUCUGGGAGGAUGGGUGCCCUUGAGGUGGGACUUCCGUGUCUACUCAGGCCUCCCUUUGUUCCCUAACAGGAUUGCAGAGCCGUCCUGCCCCGGGCCCCCUGGUACCUUGGAGGGGUGGGGCAGAUAACUUGUCAUCAAGUUAUCAGGAAAUGAGCUACUGUGCGUCACCCAGAGCUGCUGGGCCUCCACCAGACGUCUGCAGGGGACUUUCCAACUCUCCCUGAGAGAAGAGGGGACUUGAUUUCUCACGGGAUGAAGAGGGGAAGGAGAAGGAAAAGAGAAAAAGGAAGACAUUGCAACUCCCAAAACCGUAAGGGAGUCACAAGCAAGGACAAAGUGAAUGCGGACCAUUUGGAAACUGGAUCCUUUCCUCCCCGGGAGGCCACUCGGAAUCCUCCUCCUCCUCCUCUCCCACUUCAGGAGCUGGACUGUGGCUUAACAGGUGAGGGUGGAAACUGAGUUAGAGUAGAA